rnacentral:lncRNA from 1 species
UUCAAGAAUCCUUUCAUUUCUUUUCCAUCCAAGGAAUUCAGACCCAGUAACAACUAUGACCAUAAAAAGACAAAUAAUGUAUUCAGAUGCCCAUCUAAUUUCUUCAUGCCAGCUCUGGAAGUGAUCAGCCAAAAAAGAAUACAAAUAUACUGCAGGAUUUAGGUCUACGCUUGCUGUAUGAUGAUUGUUAAAGGUCUGACAGCCACAGGCUGGCUGUCUUUGGAAGGCUGAAGUGUGGAGGAGCUUACAAGAGCCAGCAUCCUGCAUAAGUUGCUCCCCGUUUCCAGCCAAGGCCCAAAGCCAUCACUGCUCCUUUCCUGUGUCCAAGGCCAAGCCUGAGCAGCCAAGCCACCUGGUGCUGCUUGGAGAGCCAAAAUGAGGAAGAAAACUUGGCACAGGCUGACCAGAAGUCCUCAGUGUUGUUGAGUCUUAGUCAUUGCCUCCUCUAUGACUUGGGGCAACCCCCAGGGCUGCAUGCUCCACUCCAGCUUCUCUGUAAAUCAAAGGCACCUGAUUUUGAACUGCUGAUCCAUUUGUGCUUUUGUCCUUGCUCCCCAGGGCACAAACAUCAGUGUCUAUGGAAGAUGAGAGAUUCCUCCAAGCCCACACAGCAAGUCCCCACUUAAGUGGGAAUUUUUUUGUGCAACCCACAGUUGAGCAGCUGCCAAUUCUGUCUAACCCAGGGCUAAGUCUCUUCCCCAGCUCCAAAGGAAAAGAGAUCCCACCUGU